AGAGUUUGAUCAUGGCUCAGAUUGAACGCUGGCGGCAGGCCUAACACAUGCAAGUCGAACGGUAACAGGAAGCAGCUUGCUGCUUUGCUGACGAGUGGCGGACGGGUGAGUAAUGUCUGGGAAACUGCCUGAUGGAGGGGGAUAACUACUGGAAACGGUAGCUAAUACCGCAUAACGUCGCAAGACCAAAGAGGGGGACCUUCGGGCCUCUUGCCAUCGGAUGUGCCCAGAUGGGAUUAGCUAGUAGGUGGGGUAAAGGCUCACCUAGGCGACGAUCCCUAGCUGGUCUGAGAGGAUGACCAGCCACACUGGAACUGAGACACGGUCCAGACUCCUACGGGAGGCAGCAGUGGGGAAUAUUGCACAAUGGGCGCAAGCCUGAUGCAGCCAUGCCGCGUGUAUGAAGAAGGCCUUCGGGUUGUAAAGUACUUUCAGCGGGGAGGAAGGGAGUAAAGUUAAUACCUUUGCUCAUUGACGUUACCCGCAGAAGAAGCACCGGCUAACUCCGUGCCAGCAGCCGCGGUAAUACGGAGGGUGCAAGCGUUAAUCGGAAUUACUGGGCGUAAAGCGCACGCAGGCGGUUUGUUAAGUCAGAUGUGAAAUCCCCGGGCUCAACCUGGGAACUGCAUCUGAUACUGGCAAGCUUGAGUCUCGUAGAGGGGGGUAGAAUUCCAGGUGUAGCGGUGAAAUGCGUAGAGAUCUGGAGGAAUACCGGUGGCGAAGGCGGCCCCCUGGACGAAGACUGACGCUCAGGUGCGAAAGCGUGGGGAGCAAACAGGAUUAGAUACCCUGGUAGUCCACGCCGUAAACGAUGUCGACUUGGAGGUUGUGCCCUUGAGGCGUGGCUUCCGGAGCUAACGCGUUAAGUCGACCGCCUGGGGAGUACGGCCGCAAGGUUAAAACUCAAAUGAAUUGACGGGGGCCCGCACAAGCGGUGGAGCAUGUGGUUUAAUUCGAUGCAACGCGAAGAACCUUACCUGGUCUUGACAUCCACGGAAGUUUUCAGAGAUGAGAAUGUGCCUUCGGGAACCGUGAGACAGGUGCUGCAUGGCUGUCGUCAGCUCGUGUUGUGAAAUGUUGGGUUAAGUCCCGCAACGAGCGCAACCCUUAUCCUUUGUUGCCAGCGGUCCGGCCGGGAACUCAAAGGAGACUGCCAGUGAUAAACUGGAGGAAGGUGGGGAUGACGUCAAGUCAUCAUGGCCCUUACGACCAGGGCUACACACGUGCUACAAUGGCGCAUACAAAGAGAAGCGACCUCGCGAGAGCAAGCGGACCUCAUAAAGUGCGUCGUAGUCCGGAUUGGAGUCUGCAACUCGACUCCAUGAAGUCGGAAUCGCUAGUAAUCGUGGAUCAGAAUGCCACGGUGAAAAUGCUUGACUCUGUAGCGGGAAAGCGUAUUAUGCACACCCCGCGCCGCUGAGAAAAAGCGAAGCGGCACUGCUCUUUAACAAUUUAUCAGACAAUCUGUGUGGGCACUCGAAGAUACGGAUUCUUAACGUCGCAAGAC
rnacentral:rRNA from 1 species